rnacentral:lncRNA from 1 species
UUGAUUGCGUUAUUGCACAUUGUCUUGAUCCUUAUAAAAGAUAGAUAAGCACUUUAAAUAACAAAUAUUACCAGCAUAACAAGAUCAACAAAUAAUUUUACUGAAUUUUUAUUAAAAAGACGCCUGACUCUUGACAGGUAUUGUCCUUAACAUGACUAUUUACAGUGUUUUGGGGAAAAACUGAAAAGGAUAUAUAAGCACA